UAAGGACCAACUGUCAUUUUGAAAACAGCAGCCAUUUUGAAACAGCAGCUCUGAGGCAAUGGUUCCAAUAUGGAGAAGAAUGCUGCAGUAGCGAUUAUAUCUUUCUGAGUACAGAGACCAACUGUACUUUUGAAAAUAUCAGCCAUUUUGAAACAGCCACUCUGAGGCAAUGGCUCCAAUGUGGAGAAGAACAUUUCAGUACCAAUGAUAUUUCUCCCAAUAACGACCAACUGUCAUUUUGAAAACAGCAGUCAUUUUGAAACAGCAGCUCUGAGGCAAUGGCUCCAAUGUGGAGAAGAACACUUCAGUAGCGAUGAUAUUUCUCCCAGUAAGGACCAACUGUAAUUUUGAAAACUGCAGCCAUUUUGAAACAGCAGCUCUGAGGCAAUGGCUCCAAUGUGGAGAAGAACGCUGCAGUGGCGAUUAUAUCUUUCCCAGUACGGACCAACUGUCAUUUUGAAAACAAUAGCCAUUUUGAAACAGUACUUCUGAGGCAAUGGGUCCAAUGUGGAGAAGAACAUUGCAGUAGCGAUGAUAUGUUUCCCAUUAAGCUGCAACUGUCAUUUGGAAAAUGGCAACCAUUUUGAAACAGCCGCUCUGAGGCAAUGGCUCCAAUGUAGAGAAGAACAUUGCAGUAGCAACGAUAUCUCUUCUGGGUUUUGUAGGUGGUCAGAAAACAGCAAGCAAAUGGACUACAGGUAAAGAAAAGGAAGACUACAGUAAGGGAGAGCUGUGUCCCGAAACCCCAGCAUAUCCCAAUAAGCCCCAUUGGUUCCAAUUUGGAGUACUGGUUAAAAGUGCUGGAAGGGAAGACCUGACUUGAUUCACAGCUAUAACCCUGUUGUGCGAAUUGGAAGCCUGGAUUGCAAAACCCUGCUCAUUCAUGGCAUAACACUGGACAAGUCACACACUCUCAGCCGCAGAAGAAGGCAAGGGCAGACCUCCUUUGAAGCAAUCUGUCCCUGGAAGCCCAAGAUCAGACUGGUAUAUGUCAUUAAAGGACUUGGAAGUCCAAGGCAAAGCAAGGCAAGUGCGGCAAGACUAAUUUUUGCCAAAGUUUGGAAACAAAAGACAAUACCAACCACUGAUGAAUGGAUUCUGAAACUGCUAGACUUAAUACAAAUGGAUUGAUUGACACAACAACUAAGAGACGGAAAAAAGAAAAUAGACUGGUCAGGCUUUAAAGACUUUAUUCAGAACAGAGGAACAAUAUUCACAAUAGAUCUAUCCGACGUAUGAAAGUAAAAAUGAUGAAGGCAAACUAGAAAACAUAACAGAAGACAAAUUUUAUUUGAAUAUUAUUAUCCUUAGGAGGACAAUGGGAAGUCACUCAACAACUUGUGUUUUUUCUUCUCCCCCCCCCCUCUCUCUCUUGGCUUUCUCUCUCAUUUUUCACCCCCCUCUCUCUCACUACCUUUAAGAUGUCUUCUUCACUUUCGCUGUAAAUAUCACUUACAACACAAUAAAAACUAUUAUAAAAAAAAUUAAGCCAGGGGCGGGGCCAAGCCGAUGGCUACGUAACAUUUAAAGACAGAUUAAAGAAAUCGAAAGCAUUCAGAAGGGAAAGAUAAAGAAACAGCUGAUCUAAUGAGUCAAAAAAACCUGUGAAUGACGUAAGCUGGGAAGAUUUAUGGAAAAAAGGAGAAAAGGAGGAUUGGUCGGAGGGAAUGAGACAAGAUAACAGCCGCCAUUAAUUAACUACGCAGUCAAAUGUACCAACUUUAAAAGUGGAGAAAGAAAGGAGGAGAGAGAGGAGGUUGCAAGAUUGAGUAUUAAAACAAUUGUAAACCAAUUAUAAGUAAUUGGAGAAGGUACAUUUAAAGUAGGAGUUGGCGGCGAAAGUUUUCUGGAAGAGAGAAGGUAAGCUGUCUGCAGUUUGUAUAUAUGUAUGAAUAAGAAACAGAAAGCGCAGCAGCAAGAGUUUUUCUUGAAAUCGGAUAAUAAUAAUAAUAAUAAUAAUAAUAAUAAUAAUAAUAAUAAUAAUACUUUAUUUUUCUAUCCUGCCACCAUCUCCCUGAAGGGACUCGGGGCAGCUAACAUGGGGCAAUGCCCAAAACAAAACAGAGUAGAACAAUAAAACGAAUAUCAAAAUAAAAACAAUAAUAACUUCAAUAAAAUUAAUAAACAAUUUAAACAUUUUUUAAAAUACAUUAAAACACAUAAAAUCAGAACAAACAAAUAAUAAUAAUAGAAUAUCAAUCACUAGAGAUGAAAGGAGUCAGGCAUAUAAAACACAAUAUCGCAAGGCUUUUAAUAAAGCACAUAAACAAGUAUCAGAGAGUCAACUGGGAUAAUAUGGGAUAAGGUAGGGUAGGAAGGAAUAAAGUGCUAAGAAGUAAUGUCUCAGUAAAAGGGUCUAUCAUGUGGGUGAAUUAUUCAAACGCACACUGAAAUAGCCUUGCAGCUUCAAAACCUGGCUGCUUCUUGCCUGGGGGAAUUCUUUGUUGGGAGGUGUUAGUUGGCCAACAUGUCAGACUACACAGAGAAGCCAUUGAAAUCAAGCAUGUGGAUAAUUUCAACAGAAAAGAGGAAACCAUGAAAAUAAACAAAAUCUGCAUCUGUCGAGUAGGAAAAUUAGGUACCGCUUUAUGCGGGGAGGCUAAUUUAACUAAUCUACGAUUGCAUUCAAAGCACCCCGACAGAUGGCCAUCAACCCUUAUAGGGGUCUACAACAUGAAUGGACCAACUUUGGCCCUCCAGGUGUUUUGGACUUCAACUCCCAAAAGGGCUGUUAGGAAUUGUGGAAGUUGGAGUCCAAAACUCCUGGAGGACUGAAGUUUGCCCAUACCUGGUGGAUGGUGCUCCUAGAAAGAAGCGAGGGCCCAGUUUUCUCCAUCUUCCUCCAUCAACCCCAUCCCUCUGACCCCAGAGCUCAGCCAUUAUCUUGUGCUGGAUCCCAAGAGGAUGCUGGGCAGAGACAAGGAAGAGGGUGGCCCUGGUUCCGCUACAGAACUUGCCUCGCUCCAGUUCCCGGCUUCCCAGCUGGCGUUGAAGGCACCUGCCAUGGCAGAAGGCGGUUCCACUGAAGAUGCCACUGGCUUUGCCGGCGUGAGGUUGGGUGCUCUUUCGUUCCUGCCCCCGAGGGAUUCUUUCCCACCAGGGAAAGAGAGGCUCUUGUUUUCCAAGCCCAUCUGCAUCUCACUGGGUUCCUUCUGUCUCGGUGCAGCUGACCUGGAAAGCAGAGGGCCGGGCGAAGGUCAUGUGGUCGGCAUGACUGCAUGGAGCGCUGUUACCUUCCUGCCGGAGUGGUACCUAUUGACUGCAGUUGGCGUGGCGGCCAAAGGGUGAGGUAAUCCGGCAGUAGGCUACCACAGGUGGCAUGACGAAGCGCAGGUGGAGUUGCGAGGUCAGCCGGCAGUGGGCGACUGCAGAUGGCAUGGCAGCCAAAGGGUGAGGUAGGCUGGCAGUAGGCUACCACAGCUGGCAUGACGAGGCACAGGUGGAGUGGCGAGGUCAGCCAGCAGUGGGCCACUGCAGAUGGCAUGGCAGCCAAAGGGUGAGGUAGGCUGGCAGUAGGCUACCACAGCUGGCAUGACGAGGCACAGGUGGAGUGGUGAGGUCAGCCAGCAGUGGGCCACUGCAGAUGGCAUGGCAGCCAAAGGGUGAGGUAGGCUGGCAGUAGGCUACCACAGCUGGCAUGACGAGGCACAGGUGGAGUGGCGAGGUCAGCCAGCAGUGGGCCACUGCAGAUGGCGUGGCAGCCAAAGGGUGAUGUAGGCUGGCAGUAGGCUACCACAGCUGGCAUGAUGAGGCGCAGGUGGAGUUGCGAGGUCAGCCAGCAGUGGGCCACUGCAGAUGGCGUGGCAGCCAAAGGGUGAGCUAGGCUGGCAUUAGGCUACCACAGCUGGCAUGACGAGGUGCAGGUGGAGUUGCGAGGUCAGCCAGCAGUGGGCGAUUGCAGAUGGCGUGGCAGCCAAAGGGUGAGCUAGGCUGGCAGUAGGCUACCACAGGUGGCAUGACGAGGCGCAGGUGGAGUGGCGAGGUAACCCAGCAGUGGGCCACUGCAGAUGGCGUGGCAGCCAAAGUGUGAGAUAGGCUGGCAGUAGGCUACCACAGGUGGCAUGACGAGGCGCAGGUGGAGUGGCGAGGUCACCCAGCAGUGGGCCACUGCAGAUGGCGUGGCAGCCAAAGUGUGAGAUAGGCUGGCAGUAGGCUACCACAGCUGGCAUGACGAGGCACAGGUGGAGUUGUGAGGUCAGCCAGCAGUGGACCACUGCAGAUGGCGUGGCAGCCAAAGGGUGAUGUAGGCUGGCAGUAGGCUACCACAGCUGGCAUGACGAGGCACAGGUGGAGUUGCGAGGUCAGCCAGCAGUGGGCCACUGCAGAUGGCGUGGCAGCCAAAGGGUGAUGUAGGCCGGCAGUAGGCUACCAAGGCUGGCAUGAUGAGGCGCAGGUGGAGUUGCGAGGUCAGCCAGCAGUGGGCCACUGCAGAUGGCGUGGCAGCCAAAGGGUGAUGUAGGCUGGCAGUAGGCUACCACAGCUGGCAUGAUGAGGCGCAGGUGGAGUUGCGAGGUCAGCCAGCAGUGGGCCACUGCAGAUGGCGUGGCAGCCAAAGGGUGAGCUAGGCUGGCAGUAGGCUACCACAGCUGGCAUGACGAGGCACAGGUGGAGUUGCGAGGUCAGCCGGCAGUGGGCCACUGCAGAUGGCGUGGCAGCCAAAGGGUGAGGUAGGCUGGCAGUAGGCUACCACAGCUGGCAUGAUGAGGCGCAGGUGGAGUUGCGAGGUCAGCCAGCAGUGGGUCACUGCAGAUGGCGUGGCAGCCAAAGGGUGAUGUAGGCUGGCAGUAGGCUACCACAGCUGGCAUGAUGAGGCGCAGGUGGAGUUGCGAGGUCAGCCAGCAGUGGGCCACUGCAGAUGGCGUGGCAGCCAAAGGGUGAUGUAGGCCGGCAGUAGGCUACCAAGGCUGGCAUGAUGAGGCGCAGGUGGAGUUGCGAGGUCAGCCAGCAGUGGGCCACUGCAGAUGGCGUGGCAGCCAAAGGGUGAUGUAGGCUGGCAGUAGGCUACCACAGCUGGCAUGAUGAGGCGCAGGUGGAGUUGCGAGGUCAGCCAGCAGUGGGCCACUGCAGAUGGCGUGGCAGCCAAAGGGUGAGCUAGGCUGGCAGUAGGCUACCACAGCUGGCAUGACAAGGCGCAAGUGGAGUUGCGAGGUCAGCCGGCAGUGGGCGACUGCAGAUGGCGUGGCAGCCAAAGGGUGAGGUAGGCUGGCAGUAGGCUACCACAGGUGGCAUGACGAGGCGCAGGUGGAGUGGCGAGGUCAGCCAGCAGUGGGCCACUGCAGAUGGCAUGGCAGCCAAAGUGUGAGAUAGGCUGGCAGUAGGCUACCACAGCUGGCAUGACGAGGCGCAGGUGGAGUUGAGAGGUCAGCCAGCAGUGGGCCACUGCAGAUGGCGUGGCAGCCAAAGGGUGAGCUAGGCUGGCAGUAGGCUACCACAGCUGGCAUGACGAGGUGCAGGUGGAGUUGCGAGGUCAGCCAGCAGUGGGCGACUGCAGAUGGCGUGGCAGCCAAAGGGUGAGGUAGGCUGGCAGUAGGCUACCACAGGUGGCAUGACGAGGCGCAGGUGGAGUGGCGAGGUCAGCCAGCAGUGGGCCACUGCAGAUGGCGUGGCAGCCAAAGUGUGAGAUAGGCUGGCAGUAGGCUACCACAGCUGGCAUGACGAGGCACAGGUGGAGUUGCGAGGUCAGCCAGCAGUGGGCCACUGCAGAUGGUGUGGCAGCCAAAGGGUUAGGUAGGCUGGCAGUAGGCUACCACAGCUGGCAUGACGAGGCACAGGUGGAGUUGCGAGGUCAGCCAGCAGUGGGCCACUGCAGAUGGCAUGGCAGCCAAAGGGUGAUGUAGGCUGGCAGUAGGCUACCAAGGCUGGCAUGACGAGGCGCAGGUGGAGUUGCGAGGUCAGCCAGCAGUGGGCCACUGCAGAUGGCGUAGCAGCCAAAGGGUGAUGUAGGCUGGCAGUAGGCUACCACAGCUGGCAUGACGAGGUGCAGGUGGAGUUGCGAGGUCAGCCGGCAGUGGGCGACUGCAGAUGGCGUGGCAGCCAAAGGGUGAGGUAGGCUGGCAGUAGGCUACCACAGGUGGCAUGACGAGGCGCAGGUGGAGUGGCGAGGUCAGCCAGCAGUGGGCCACUGCAGAUGGCGUGGCAGCCAAAGUGUGAGAUAGGCUGGCAGUAGGCUACCACAGCUGGCAUGACGAGGCACAGGUGGAGUUGCGAGGUCAGCCAGCAGUGGGCCACUGCAGAUGGUGUGGCAGCCAAAGGGUUAGGUAGGCUGGCAGUAGGCUACCACAGCUGGCAUGACAAGGCACAGGUGAAGUUGCGAGGUCAGCCAGCAGUGGGCCACUGCAGAUGGCGUGGCAGCCAAAGGGUGAUGUAGGCUGGCAGUACGCUACCACAGCUGGCAUGAUGAGGCACAGGUGAAGUUGCGAGGUCAGCCAGCAGCGGGCCACUGCAGAUGGCGUGGCAGCCAAAGGGUGAUGUAGGCUGGCAGUAGGCUACCACAGCUGGCAUGACGAGGCGAAGGUGGAGUUGCGUGGUCAGCCAGCAGUGGGCCACUGCAGAUGGCGUGGCAGCCAAAGGGUGAUGUAGGCUGGCAGUAGGCUACCACAGCUGGCAUGACGAGGCACAGGUGAAGUUGCGAGGUCAGCCAGCAGUGGGCCACUGCAGGUGGCGUGGCAGCCAAAGGGUGAUGUAGGCUGGCAGUAGGCUACCACAGCUGGCAUGACGAGGCACAGGUGAAGUUGCGAGGUCAGCCAGCAGUGGGCCACUGCAGAUGGCGUGGCAGCCAAAGGGUGAUGUAGGCUGGCAGUAGGCUACCACAGCUGGCAUGACGAGGCACAGGUGAAGUUGCGAGGUCAGCCAGCAGUGGGCCACUGCAGAUGGCGUGGCAGCCAAAGGGUGAUGUAGGCUGGCAGUACGCUACCACAGCUGGCAUGACGAGGCACAGGUGAAGUUGCGAGGUCAGCCAGCAGUGGGCCACUGCAGAUGGCGUGGCAGCCAAAGGGUGAGGUAGGCUGGCAGUAGGCUACCACAGCUGGCAUGACGAGGUGCAGGUGGAGUUGCGAGGUCAGCCAGCAGUGGGCCACUGCAGAUGGCGUGGCAGCCAAAGGGUGAUGUAGGCUGGCAGUAGGCUACCACAGCUGGCAUGACGAGGCACAGGUGAAGUUGCGAGGUCAGCCAGCAGUGGGCCACUGCAGAUGGCGUGGCAGCCAAAGGGUGAUGUAGGCUGGCAGUAGGCUACCCCAGCUGGCGUGACUGAGGUGCAGGUGCAGUGUCGGGUUAAGCCGCGAUUGUUAGCCACCUUGAUUCCCUACAGGGAGAGAGGCAUGAUAAAAAUAUCAUCAUCAUCAUCAUCAUCAUCAUCAUCAGAUAUGUAAAGCUUUCCCCCUGAAAUUCAGUCCAGACGUAUUUGACUCUGGGGGUUGGUGCUCAUCUCCAUUUCUAAGCCGAAGAGCCGGCUUUGUCUUUAGACACCUCCAAGGUCAUGUGGCCGGCAUGACUGCAUGGAGCGCUGUUACCUUCCCGCCAGAGUGGUACCUAUUGAUCUACUCACAUUGGCAUGUUUUUGAACUGCUAGGUUGACAGAAGCUAGGGCUAACAACAGGCAAUCACUCCAGCAGCUCAGCACUUUAACACGCUGCACCACUGGGGCCUCCGUAAGGGAGACUCUGGCAGAAACCAGUGCAGGUGGGUCCCGGUGGUGGUGGGCACAUUGGGUGCCAUGCCAAAAGAGCUCAGCCGGCAUUUGGAAACAAUAGGCAUUGACAAAAUUACCAUCUGCCAACUGCAAAAGGCCACCUGAAAAUCAUCUGAAAAUACAUCACACAGUCCUAGACACUUGGGAAGAGUUCAACUUAUGAUUUUGUUAUAUGAAAUCCAGCAUAUCUAUCUU